rnacentral:piRNA from 1 species
UUUUAUUUGCUGGAAAAUAUU